rnacentral:rRNA from 1 species
AUCUAAGGAAGGCAGCAGGCGCGUAAAUUACCCAAUCCUGACUCAGGGAGGUAGUGACAAGAUAUAACAACGCGACUAAAAAUCGCGAUUGUAGUGAGGGUAUUCCAAACCGAACUUCGAGUACGAUUGGAGGGCAAGUCUGGUGCCAGCAGCCGCGGUAAUUCCAGCUCCAAUAGCGUAUAUUAAAGUUGUUGCAGUUAAAAAGCUCGUAGUUGGAUUUCAAGGAGCGUCCUGGGCAACCAGCGACCUUCUAUCAGUCUUUGACUGUUACUGUGAGAAAAUUAGAGUGUUUCAAGCAGGCUGUUGCCAGAAUACAUUAGCAU